CAGUAUCAGGCUGAAGAGCUCUCAGUGUUCAAAUAAUGAGCUUUCAUUCUCUGCCACUGGGAGGGGGCAGAAAUGCUCGUGGCCUCGGUGGCCCAACUUGUCCCUGAGGAGCCCGAGUUUGCAUUUCUGCCCCAGCCAGCCACACCUCUGUGUGCCUGAGCAUCGCUCCUGGGAGGACUCAGCUGGCUGAGCAGGGAGCUGCAGCUGCCUGCCACACACAUCUGCCCAGCCUCCAGCCCAGCUCCGUGCCCAGGACAGUCUGUCAGCCCUCAAAAUGUUUUCCAUCCUGGAAUUUGUUUCUCUCCCUGCAAUCCCUGACCCCUGCAGGGCAGAAAGGAGCUGUCCAUCUGAGUUUUACUCCACUCUUGUGAGGGAUGGUGUGACAUGCACUUGUUUUGAGAUUCCUGCCAUUGAUACAGAGAAAUGAGAAAGGAAACACCUGAUGAACUUGCUUUUCUUGCCUGUCAUGAACAAUAUAUUGUGCUCAAAAGAGUCCUUAUUGUGCCAUUUGAGUUGGUGAAAUAAAAGUAAAGACUUCUUAUUUUCUAACA